rnacentral:rRNA from 1 species
AUUGAACGCUGGCGGCAUGCUUUACACAUGCAAGUCGAACGGCAGCGCGGGGCCACCUGGCGGCGAGUGGCGCACGGGUGAGUAAUAUAUCGGAACGUACCCAGAAGUGGGGGAUAACGUAGCGAAAGUUACGCUAAUACCGCAUACGAUCUACGGAUGAAAGUGGGGGAUCGCAAGACCUCAUGCUUUUGGAGCGGCCGAUAUCUGAUUAGCUAGUUGGUAGGGUAAAGGCCUACCAAGGCGACGAUCAGUAGCUGGUCUGAGAGGACGACCAGCCACACUGGGACUGAGACACGGCCCAGACUCCUACGGGAGGCAGCAGUGGGGAAUUUUGGACAAUGGGCGCAAGCCUGAUCCAGCAAUGCCGCGUGAGUGAAGAAGGCCUUCGGGUUGUAAAGCUCUUUUGUCAGGGAAGAAACGGCCGAGGCUAAUACCUUUGGCUAAUGACGGUACCUGAAGAAUAAGCACCGGCUAACUACGUG